rnacentral:lncRNA from 1 species
CAUUUCUGAGCCUCUCGUGAAUUUCUCGGGGGAUGAGAGAAGUCCACUGGGUUUAACAUACAGAGCGAAUAUUUAAAAGCGAGUUUUCCAAGUCUUUCUACUUUUCUUUCCAGAAAGAAAUCCAGGUCUAAAUACUAGCAAGGGCAGAACGACACGUUACCUCAAUGAGAACCAGGAUGUUUAGGAGAAGAGAAGCA